GGGAAUAUUGCACAAUGGGCGCAAGCCUGAUGCAGCCAUGCCGCGUGUAUGAAGAAGGCCUUAGGGUUGUAAAGCUCUUUUACCCGGGAUGAUAAUGACAGUACCGGGAGAAUAAGCUCCGGCUAACUCCGUGCCAGCAGCCGCGGUAAUACGGAGGGUGCAAGCGUUAAUCGGAAUUACUGGGCGUAAAGCGCACGCAGGCGGUUUGUUAAGUCAGAUGUGAAAUCCCCGGGCUCAACCUGGGAACUGCAUCUGAUACUGGCAAGCUUGAGUCUCGUAGAGGGGGGUAGAAUUCCAGGUGUAGCGGUGAAAUGCGUAGAGAUCUGGAGGAAUACCGGUGACGAAGGCGGCCCCCUGGACGAAGACUGACGCUCAGGUGCGAAAGCGUGGGGAGCAAACAGG
rnacentral:rRNA from 1 species